rnacentral:lncRNA from 1 species
CAGGAUCCAAAAUUAUUAUAUUAAGUAUUGUGCAAUAGCAAGAAAUUUUCAAUUGCACAGUAUUCAGCAAUAGCAAGAAAUCUUCAAUUGCACAGAAUUGUGCAAUAGCAAGAAAUCUUCAAUUGCACAGUAGUGUGCAAUAGCAAAUAUUUUCAAUUGCACAGUAUUGCGCAAUAGCAAGAAAUAUCUAAUUGCACAAUAUUGUGCAAUAGCAAGAGAUUUUCAAUUGGAGUUAUUUUUCUUUGUCCAGAAUAGUAGUUGAAUCAACUUAAAUCAUUGUUUUAUAC